UGGGGCAGCCUUACAUGUGUGCUUGCUUCACCGGUGCAUGCAUCGCCAUAACAACCAAGCAAGUAGGCAUCAUCAACAUCUCCUCACCACUUUCCUGGCAACAGAGAAAGAGUCAAAACAAAAUAUAUUAGACCAUAAUAUGACAACGGAGCACAGAUCAGUAACUGUAAAUCACAAUGUAUAUUCACAACACCAUAAAAUAGUCCCAGAAAUAGGAGGAGGAUGUCUUAUCAACAAACUGAACUUAGAAAUGAAACUUUGUAAUGCUCAAGUUUCAGCUAAUAGGGAUUACAGAAUUUUAGAUGGGACAAAUUCUUCUAGUUGCACUUAUCACAGAUAGAAGAGUUUAUAGUGAAGAAACAUUUGCAAUCAAAGACACAGCCUGGAACAUAUCAAUUUCGAGGUGCAGUUUGUAUACAAUCGGACAUCUCAGGUUGUAUACUACUCAUGAUAAUUCCACUAAUCUAUGGAGUCAAGGGAUGCAACUUGUCAAUAGCAUUUGAGGGGCAGAAGCUAAUCCACAAUGGCAAUAGAACUAACAUUCAGAGCAUCAUUAUCGAUUUCAAAAGAGCAAGCAUGAUAUUGCAUCCAAAUGAGUAGGUAGCUCUCCAAAUGAGUUAUGAUGCAUCAAUGAGUUCCAAAAAGACCCUACGGCUCAUUUGUUCAAACUAUUCCUGAUCUCAUGGAUGCCAACACAUGCACUCCUCAUGCAUGAAUGCAUUGUAAAUUUGUAAUUGUAGCAUAAUCUGGAGAGAAGUGCAGGGUAAGAGUGGUGCUCUGUUGCUACGUAAAAGAAAGCAGAGGAUGCUACUAAAGCAACAACACAAAUGGGCAAAAACAACAGCGACUGGGCUAGCGAAGCCGCCUGAGCUGACCAAGUAUAGGUAAACUUGGCUCAGACCAAACUCUGAUCGACGAUGAGAAUCAAACAUUCAUCAAUGAAGCCCAAAGAUGCGAGACAAACAUCAUUCAGCACCACAAUCAGCUUUAUGUUGCAGACAAGCUAGUUUUAUACUUGAAAAAUGUCGCAUGAAUGAAUGUACUUGAGAUUAUCCUAAAUUAUUACUGGAGAUUAAUAAAAUAUACUUGCCAUGCUUCAUCCAUAAGACCUAAACUAAACAAACCUGACUUAUAAACUUGUGCAUCCUACCAUUUUAGUUAUAGGGAACUUCACUGCCUAGCUGUAGAUCAGUGGCUGCUGGAGGAAAGAAGACUCUGGACGCGUUUGGCGCGUGCGACACAUAACAAUAUAAGACCAUCAGGUUAAAUGAAUAAGCAUCAGGAUUUCUUAAUCAAAUUUGUUCAUAUCAAGUUCAUGAAACUAAAGAACGGCUAACUCCAGUGAUGUUGCUGCUCAAUUAGCAGUGCAGUUUCCUAUA
rnacentral:lncRNA from 1 species